GAUGAACGCUGGCGGCGUGCCUAAUACAUGCAAGUCGAGCGAACGGACGAGAAGCUUGCUUCUCUGAUGUUAGCGGCGGACGGGUGAGUAACACGUGGAUAACCUACCUAUAAGACUGGGAUAACUUCGGGAAACCGGAGCUAAUACCGGAUAAUAUUUUGAACCGCAUGGUUCAAAAGUGAAAGACGGUCUUGCUGUCACUUAUAGAUGGAUCCGCGCUGCAUUAGCUAGUUGGUAAGGUAACGGCUUACCAAGGCAACGAUGCAUAGCCGACCUGAGAGGGUGAUCGGCCACACUGGAACUGAGACACGGUCCAGACUCCUACGGGAGGCAGCAGUAGGGAAUCUUCCGCAAUGGGCGAAAGCCUGACGGAGCAACGCCGCGUGAGUGAUGAAGGUCUUCGGAUCGUAAAACUCUGUUAUUAGGGAAGAACAUAUGUGUAAGUAACUGUGCACACCUUGACGGUACCUAAGCAGAAAGCCACGGCUAACUACGU
rnacentral:rRNA from 1 species